rnacentral:lncRNA from 1 species
UUUUUUUUUUUGUUUGUUUGUUUGUUUUUUUUUUUUUAAAUAAAAUAACCAGUUUCAUCAUGGUGGUAUCCCGAGUGCGUAACGUGCAUGCUAACAGUCAUCCCCUUCCCGCUCCCUGCCAUUAGUCUCUUGUCUUCCCACUGCUGUCUCCAUUUCUCUUCCCAAACAGCUCUGUUGUACAGCGUCACUUCUCUAACAGCAAUCUGGAUCCAACAUUUGAGAGGAAACAUGUUUGCCUUUAUGCGUUGGUUCAUUUCUUUUGAUCUCCAUCUCCAUCCAUUUUUUCCCCCCUGCAAAUGACACAAUUUCCCUUUCUGUUAUUUUAAGUAAAAAAAAAAAGUAAAACAGUGUUCUGUGGUCUGAAAGCGCCGAUGACUGGCUGUGCUGUGCUGGCCUGAAGCUGUGGACGCCCUUUCCUCUUCUCGUUUCUCUGUAGGAGCCUUCACAGCUGCAGAUCCUGGUGUCCCUCUGCCAUUUGUUCUGUUAAAGCAAUGAUCUUAAACCAUAAAGUCUCACUCUGAACAGCACACUAUUCCACGCCUGUCUCUCCAUAGGGCCUGGAGCUUUUAUGCCUGUUUGGUAGCAGUGCGUCUGCUGAGACCAGAAACUGAUAAUUAACACUGGACUUGCUGUGGCUGAGGCGUGAGCCUAGCCCUUGUCACCUGUGGCCAUCUCUAUCCCUGUCUAAUGGACAGAAAAGGGAUUGCUCAGCUAAGCCUAGACCUCUGCCAGGGUCACAUGGCUUUUAAGUAGUGGGGUCUGAAUUACAGUCGCAGCAGUUGGUGAAAAAGUACCUGUCAGUCACUAAUCCUCCUUGCGGACUACCCGCUGCUCUUCUGCUCCGAGCUCUUUCAGCUCAGCGUGUGGAUGAUGCUCAGCAAAGCCAUCAUGUGUGUGAGUGCAUGUAUUUGCUCUGGCCUUGGCUUCUUCAAAGUGGAGCAAGGAUAUUUGCAAAGCAAACUGGGUGUAAGAUACUGUAUGUAUAUAUUUUUUAUGACUUUUGAGCCUUUUAUAUUUAUUGAUCUUGCCCACACCUUUUUUUUUUUUUUUUUUUUUUGGACAACAGUUUCUUCCAUAAUCUGUUUUUGUAGGAUCUAUCCAAACAUUCGUCUUCAUUUUCUUAGGAACAACUUCUCUUCCUGUUCACACUUCUUGUUUGUGAGUUGGUGUCAUGUUUUAGGGGUAGUAGUAGUGUGUGCAACUGGCAUUAGCAGUCUCAAGGCAGAUACAGUUGGCUCCCGGCAAGCACAGGACGCCCAUAGGCGUGGCUGAUCCACUCAGGAAUGUUCAAUGUACUAUGGAUUUCCCAAGUCUGCAACAACAGAGGAAGAGCCCAGUGUGGUGGGUCUUUUGAAUUGAAGUUGCUGGGAAAAACAAACAAACAAAAAAAUCAAUCCUCUUUGGCGUGUGUAAAAUCACUAGUACGUGUAGAUGAAUCUCAAAACACAAAAGCCAGAUAUAGUGGCACAUGCCUGUCAUUCUAGUAUUUGGAAGGCAGAGGUAAGAGAAUUGUGAAUUUGAGGUACAGCCCCAUCUCAAAGAAAACAAAAUAAAACAAAACCCCAAUCAAAUAAAAACAAAACAAAAUAAACCUUGGUACCUGUGCCCAAGAGAGUGUUGCAGGGUGUGGAGAGUGUUGACUCCUAGCAGUAACUGAAGGUGUCAGCCGCCCAUCAUUCUCCCCCUAAGGGUGACGCAAAAGAUGUGGCUGGAUAUAAACUCACAAGGUGAUCACUUUAGUGUAUCCCUUCCCCCUAAAUUAUUCAUUUCAGCUCUCAGAAAGGUAAACAGAAAUGGACUUUCAUUUUUUAUUUUAUUUUAUUUUUCUUUGACUUAGGACAUGUAUGGGUCAUGACUUUAAAUCAGUGGUUCUCAGUGGGUCUCGAUCCCCUGAGGUUGAACUCCCCUUUCACAGGGGUCACAUAUCAGAUAUCUGGUAUAUCAGAUAUUUACAUUACGAUUCAUAACAGUAGCAACAUUACAGUUAUGAAAUAGCAAUUAAAUAAUUUUAUGGUUGGGAGAUUCAUAAAGGGGUCACAGCAUCAAGAACGUGGACAACCACUGUUUUAGAAUUUUCUGCUUGUGUAACCUGUGAAUUACUCUGGGGAUAAGUGUUUGAGGAAGAAGGCUGCAUUUGAUGUCUUAUAAAGCAUUUUCCUAAGUUUUAAAGUUUUCACAGUCUUUUUAAAUUGUUCUGAAUGGAAUUUUAAUUUUGAAAAUUUUUGAUUUUUUAAAUUUUUUUUUUAUGUAGAAUAUGGAUGAGAUCUCCCAGUGACUGAGGGGAACAUUUUAGUGUGUGUGAACUGCACUGAACACAGUCAAACAGCAGGCAAAAUGGUGAUGAUCUUGUAUUAUGGUAGUUUUGACGAUUCCACAUUUAAUAAUAAAAAUAUAAGCCGUUGUCAGAUACUGCUAGUUUUGACGUAGAAGAGUUUCUAACUCUAGGGUAAACUUAACUGAAGAGCAUGUAAGAUGAUGGCUCAAAGUGUCACUUAUCUAUGAAAAGGGAGACUUUACUUGAAAAGAGCCAGACAAAUCAAGGCACAGAAAUAACUCUGGGAGGCAAGAGUACAUGACUGUCUUAAUAGAUUUCACAUAUAGUAUUAUAUUUAUUUAAUCGUUUGAAACAGGGUCUCGUGUAGUCCUGGCUCGCCUAGAACUUUCUAUUUAGAUCUGGCUUCAAAUUCAGAGAUCUGCCUGCUUCUAUCUUUUGAAUGCUGGAAUAAGAGUCAUGUGCCACCACACCCGGCUCAGAAACAGUGUUUGUGUUCAUCAAAAUCACUGUCUUGGGCCAGGAGGGUGGCACGGUAUGGAGUCUGAGGCAGGAUUGUGUCCAGGAAUUCUGAGCGCCAUGCUGAGACCCUGUAGUAUCUUAAGGCCAGCCUUUCUCCAAUAGU